ACGAGCGCGCGGCAGUAGGAGGCGGUACGAAGGGUGUGUCGAGGGAUAAUGGUACUUGCAGGCAGGAAGGCGCAGGACGGCGGUCGGUGAAGUCAGGUGGGGAGUACGGGGGCUGAAGGUGGGAGAUGAGUGCGAGGCUGGCGGGAUGGGGGGAUGAUGAGUGGGGUGGAAGUCCAGGGGUAGCGGUGCACUGGGUAGAGAGCGGGAUGAGUAGCGGUGGAGGAGGCGGCACCAUGGACAAAUACUGACGCUCAGGUGCGAAAGCGUGGGUAGCAAACAGGAUUAGAUACCCGUGUAGUC
rnacentral:rRNA from 1 species